rnacentral:rRNA from 1 species
UACGGGGGGGGCAAGCGUUGUUCGGAAUUACUGGGCGUAAAGGGCUCGUAGGCGGCCAACUAAGUCAGACGUGAAAUCCCUCGGCUUAACCGGGGAACUGCGUCUGAUACUGGAUGGCUGGAGGUUGGGAGAGGGAUGCGGAAUUCCAGGUGUAGCGGUGAAAUGCGUAGAUAUCUGGAGGAACACCGGUGGCGAAGGCGGCAUCCUGGACCAAUUCUGACGCUGAGGAGCGAAAGCCAGGGGAGCAAACGGGG